rnacentral:sRNA from 1 species
UAUUACCGGAGAGAGCUAAAAGCAUGUAGGAGGAAGAGAUAGGCGGCGGAGAAGAUGAAUUAGGACUACGUGGUAACGGAGGAGCUAGCGGAGGAGGAGGAUGAUGACGGUGAUGAGGC